UGGGGAAUAUUGCACAAUGGAGGAAACUCUGAUGCAGCAACGCCGCGUGAGUGAAGAAGGCUUUCGAGUCGUAAAACUCUGUCAUUAGGGAAAAGCAGAAGAUGGUACCUAAUGAGGAAGCUCCGGCUAACUACGUGCCAGCAGCCGCGGUAAUACGUAGGGAGCGAGCGUUGUCCGGAAUUACUGGGCGUAAAGAGUGCGUAGGCGGCAUAUCAAGUCAGGUGUGAAAUAUUAGGGCUCAACCCUGAAACUGCAUUUGAAACUGAUAAGCUUGAGUAUGGGAGAGGAAAGCGGAAUUCCUGGUGUAGCGGUGAAAUGCAUAGAGAUCAGGAGGAACACCGGUGGCGAAGGCGGCUUUCUGGACCAUAACUGACGCUGAGGCACGAAAGCGUGGGUAGCAAACAGG
rnacentral:rRNA from 2 species